UCCUCCUUGAACUCUUUGUAUCUUUCACAUGACACACAUGGAUGAUACUCCAAGUGACACCUCGUACAUGUCUCUGCAUAGCAUGCUCCACACACAAAUGGACCUCCAACCAUCUCAGUGCCUGAUACCCGGUAAACAGAAGGACAGUCAGGAGAGGGGCAAAACCUGUAAGUGCCCCCACUAGAUGCAACAAAUGCCCCCAAAGA
rnacentral:misc_RNA from 1 species